rnacentral:tRNA from 1 species
UUCUGUGGCUUAGUUGGUUAAAGUGCCAAUCGAGCGAAUACAGAGUCGUGCGUGGGUUCAAAUCCCACCAGAA